UAUGCGAAAUUUCGAAGGAUACACUGAAAAUCAGUGACACUAAAAGCUUGAUUGAACUGAAAAUGGCGUACUUCACUCUUAAUGAACUUACAUGUAGCUGUAUUAUGGUUAUGGUGGCUUCAUUGUUCUUUUCUGUUGAAUCUAAAGAAAAAGACAAUGGAACAGAGCUCAACCUUCUAAAGGUGCUCAACACGACUCAGCCACUGUACUUGUAUUAUUACUGCAGCAGCAUCUUUGGUCUGAACGAGUGCACGAAAAACAAUUACAUCGUUGAAACUUACUCCUGUACAAACAUGCGUAAGAAUAUGCUCACCAACUACACCUACAAUUUUACACUCUCAGCGCGGAAUAACGUAUCCAAGUGGGAUAACACGACUUAUAUCGCAGAAUUUAUUAACAAAACCUCACAAAAACCACCAACUGAAAUGAGGUACAACAGUU